GUUGAACGCUGGCGGCAGGCCUAACACAUGCAAGUCGAACGAGUGGCGGACGGGUGAGUCAUGUCUGGGAAACUGCCCGAUGGAGGGGGAUAACUACUGGAAACGGUAGCUAAUACCGCAUACCAUCGGAUGUGCCCGGAUGGGAUUAGCUAGUAGGUGGGGUAAUGGCUCACCUAGGAGACGAUCCCUAGCUGGUCUGAGAGGAUGAUCAGCCACACUGGAACUGAGACACGGCCCAGACUCCUACGGGAGGCAGCAGCGGGGAAUAUUGGGCAAUGGGCGAAAGCCUGAGGCAGCAAUGCCGCGUGUAUGAAGAAGGCCUUCGGGUUGUAAAGUACUUUCAGCGAGGAGGCGUUACUCGCAGAAUAAGCACCGGCUAACUCCGUGCCAGCAGCCGCGGUAAUUC
rnacentral:rRNA from 1 species